rnacentral:rRNA from 1 species
AGUGAACGCUGGCGGUAGGCCUAACACAUGCAAGUCGAACGGCAGCACAGUAAGAGCUUGCUCUUACGGGUGGCGAGUGGCGGACGGGUGAGGAAUACAGCGGAAUCUACUUUUUCGUGGGGGAUAACGUAGGGAAACUUACGCUAAUACCGCAUACGACCUACGGGUGAAAGCAGGGGAUCUUCGGACCUUUCGCGAUUGAAUGAGCCGAUGUCGGAUUAGCUAGUUGGCGGGGUAAAGGCCCACCAAGGCGACGAUCCGUAGCUGGUCUGAGAGGAUGAUCAGCCACACUGGAACUGAGACACGGUCCAGACUCCUACGGGAGGCAGCAGUGGGGAAUAUUGGACAAUGGGCGCAAGCCUGAUCCAGCCAUACCGCGUAGGUGAAGAAGGCCUUCGGGUUGUAAAGCCCUUUUGUUGGGAAAGAAAAGCAGCAGGUUAAUACCCCGCUGUUCUGACGGUACCCAAAGAAUAAGCACCGGCUAACUUCGUG